AUUGAACGCUAGCGGGAUGCCUAACACAUGCAAGUCGAACGGAGUGGCGAACGGGUGAGUAAUGUAACGGAACGUGCCCCGUCGCGGGGGAUAACUACGAGAACGCGUAGCUAAUACCGCAUACUCUUGGAGCGGCCGCUAUCGGAUUAGCUAGUUGGUGGGGUAACGGCUCACCAAGGCGACGACCCGUAGCCGGUUUGAGAGGACGAUCAGCAACACUGGGACGGAGACACGGCCCAGACUCCUACGGGAGGCAGCAGUGGGGAAUGUUGGACAAUGGGGGAAAGCCUGAGCCAGCCAUGCCGCGUGUGCGAAGAAGGCCUUCGGGUUGUAAAGCACUUUUGGCAGGGAAGCGGUACCUGCAGAAGAAGCACCGGCUAACUACGUGCCAGCAGCCGCGGUAAUUC
rnacentral:rRNA from 1 species